CUGCUCCGUGCUGCCAGCAAAGUCUUCAUUGAACUCGAGGCCUCUCUGCUUGGCCACAGCUAAAAUUCGGCUCUCCACUCAGUGAUGGCAAAAGUCACCAAUGGGUAAACUGUUGCUGAAAUUCACAAAGGAAUCGUUUUGAAAUUUUGAACUCAAAGGUCGGUAAAGAAUCAAUCUCUAACAUAAAAAUGUGUUUGGUAUGUGUGUGGGGGUGUGUAAGUGUAUGGUGCGUUUGUGUGGUAUUUGUGUGUGGUGUGUGUGUGGUGUGCAGGGUAUAUAUGUAUGUGAUGUGUGUGGUGUGUGUGUGGUUGGGUUGUGUGUUUGGUGUUUGGUAUGUGUAUGGUAUCUGUGGGUGGUGUGUGUGUGCAUGUGGUUGUGUUGUGUGGUAUCUGUGCGUGUGAUGCAUGCGGUGUAUGUGGGGGACUGUGUGUGGUGUGUGCUCUGUAUGUGUGUGUGUGGUGUCUGGGGGAUGCGUGUGGGGGUGUAGUGUGGGAUGGGGUGUGUGUUUGUGGUUGUGUUGUGUGGUUGGUGCAUGUGGUAUAUGUUUGUGUGAUGUGUGUGGUGUUUGUAGUGCCUGUGGUAUGUGUGAUGAGUGUGGUGUAUGUGUGGUUGUGGUGUGUGUGCUCUGUGUGUGCGUGUGGUGUGUGCAGUAUGUGGGAUGUGGUGUGUGUAUGUGUUGUGUGUAGUAUGUGUGAUGUGUGUGAUGUGUGUGGCGUAUGUGAGGUUGUGUUGUGUGUGGCGUGUAUGGUGUAUGUGUGUGUGGUGUGUGGUGUAUAUAUGGUGUGUGGCUUGUAUAUGGUAUAUGCGUAUGUGGUAUGUAUGUGUGUGGAGAGGUGUGUGUGUGUGUGGUGUUUGUGUGGUGUGUGUGGUAGUAUGUGUGUGUGAUGUGUGUGGUGUGUGUGUGUGUGUGUGUGUGUGUGUUAAUCACUUACUAUCUUCAUUUUCUCUGGACAACUUUGGGGAACAAAAGAUCUGUAGCCUUUAAUGCAUUUAUUCAACAAAUCAUUUCCUGCCUACCACGUGGCUCCACACUAUUCCCAGGGGCUGGUGCUCCUCAUAGAGGUGACACCUGCUCCAGGCCUUCUAGUCCCAGGCCCUCUUCCCAGGGCACCAUGGGAAUGUGUCGAUCCUCAUGGCAAUCCUGUGAGAAGAUACACGUAUCCCCUGUUUCACCAGCGAGGAAGCCAAGGCACAGGUCAAAGAACUUGUCGGCCAGCACACAGCUGGAAAGUAGCAGUCGAGAUGUGACCAAGGUAUCCUGGUGCCAGAACCAUGCUCCUAACGCUCCGCCAGCUGACUCAGCUGCACCUGCUGGGAUCUCUGACCAGAUGAACGGGGCUCUGAGUGCUCAGCCACGGGGGUCUCAUCUGUGCUGGAGAAACGGGACCCAGAACCACAGCAGACAGAUGACCGCUGCUGGAAGGAAGCUCCCAGGCCACAAGACAAUCCCUUCGCUCAGGGCAGGGCAGCUGAGCUCACUUCCCCAAGGCCACCCAGGAGAAACCAGCAGAGCCGGGGCAGAGGCUGGAGCGUAAUGCUGGGACCUCAGCUCACUGCAACCUCCACCUCCCAGGUUCAAGUGAGUCUCCUGCCUCAGUUUCCCGAGUAGCUGGGAUUACAAGCAACCGCCACCACGCCCCACUAGUUUACAUGUUUUUAGUAGAGAUGGCGUUUCACCAUGUUGGCAAGGCUGGUCUCGGACUCCUGUCCUCAGGUAAUCAACCCACCUUGGCCUCCCAAAGUGCUGGGGUUACAGGUAUGAGCCCCUGCGCUGGCUGAAACAUGCAGCUUUUAAUGCAGCAUUUUCUCUAAAUUACAGUGUCAUGUCUUUAUUGAUAAUGUCUUCACAUAUUUCAAAAUUCAAAGAAUGCAAAGAGCAUUUUCAUAAAAAUCGUCAUCCAUCUAGUUCCCUCCCUGGAGACAAGAAUAUUGUCUCCUGCGGAUCCAUGAUAGAAGAAUCACUGAUUAAAGAAUAUCAGCGAUAGAAGAAUCUUCUCACAGGUAAAGAGUUGUUCAUGCGUGGAAUGGGCUGAGGCAAGUGGUAACGCGGGCUCCAUCACUGAGGGGUUAAGGCCACUUGCAGGGCUGACGUGUAGGGAAUCAGAUGAAAGCACACAGCCGUACCUCGACGUCCCUCCAACCCUGAGACGCCACGGCGUGACUCCCUUCCCCUGCUGUGAAUGGUGAGUGGUGGAAACUCAGAGCCACGUGGUGCUGCCUUCCCGAACCCCCCACCUGUUUCACCCUUAACCCACACGGUGCAGCAGGGGCAGUGUUGUGCCACCAGCAGAGGCUCCCUUUCCUGCUCAGCUUUGCUUCCUGGAAGCUCUCUGGUGCUCUGCACAGUGACCCUUGUCCCCUCCGCAGUUUCACCCCAGCCCUUCACCCAGCGUCUCUGCAGCGGCCCCACCUCCCUGUUCUCCUGUGGUCUCUACAGUUUCUGCUCCUCCCUUUCUGUUCCUUGGACCCUCGGUCCUGUCACAUGCAGAGGUCUUUCUCUAUCCUGCUGACCUGGCUUCCUGAACCCCAGCAGGC
rnacentral:lncRNA from 13 species